rnacentral:tRNA from 1 species
AAGGGUAUAGCUCAGUGGUAGAGCGUGUGCUUAGCAUGCACCAGGUCCUGGGUUCAGUCUCCAGUACCUCCA